rnacentral:lncRNA from 1 species
UUUUUUUUUUUUUUUUUUUUUUUUUAGCGUGUUUGGAUUGUAAAGUAAACUUAGUUAUUUUAAGCUAUCUGUUUUAUAGCUACUACCAUCAAGCCAUAUUUAUCACAAUUAUAAUUUGGCACAUAGCGUUCAUACUGAGAAGCUUAAUAAUACUCAGUAUUUGCUAAAACUAAAAAGAAACCAACAACCAACCGACAAACACAAAAAACCAAAAACCAAUAACGUAUUUACCCAUCCUGUUUGUGGUACUUUGUUACUGCAGCCCUAGCAAAGUAAUACAUCUAUUUCAAACUCUUCAUGUUGUCAUACAUCUGGGUAAAGUUUGAAAAUACAAUGAUUUUUAAACUCCCUCUGUUUUGUAGAGGUCUUGGUUACAGAGAGUGGACUCCACGCUAGAUAAUUUAGGCUGGAAAAAAACUUACUGUUAAGUGUAAUGUAAAUAGCACAUGCAUUCAUUGGGAGGGCUGAGCUGCCAGCAACGAUCCCCCACCACACCGUAGGAUACGGCUGUCCUGGGUGGUGUUGCCGCACAGUGAUGUGGGAACUCAGAAUUAGGCAGCUGCUGUAAGGUGCAGGGGCUGGGCACACCAUCUCUGCCAUGGUCUGUAACCAUCAGAAUAAAAUCAUCCAUGCCCCUGCCUGUCGCUCCUUAUGCCUCAGUUCUGGGUGUGCAAUCAUCUACGGAACUCUAGUGAAAAGAGAACUAAAAAUAUGUCUUUAAAGAUGAGAACAGCUUGAGUGGCUCAGUCGGUUAAGAGACUGACUCUUGCUUUCAGCUCAGGUCGUGAUCUCAGGGUCAGGAUUCCCGGCCCUGCCUGGGCAGGGAGCCUGCUUAAGAGUCUCUCUCCCUCCCUCCGUCCCCCUCCGCCUCUCCCUCUCUCCCCCACUGCACACUCACUCAUGUGCUCUCUCUCUGUCAAAAAAAAAAAAAGAAAAAAAAAAAAAACCAAACAAACAAAAAACAAACAAAAAACAAAACAAAAAAAAAACCAGCAAACAUACAACAGAACAGUAAUAACAAAUCUUUACGGCAAGUUACCAACAUUGUUCUAUGCAUGUCUAUUUCUUAUUUUUAUUGUUCUUCUUGAGAUUUAAACCACUCAAUUAUAUAAACUAUACUGGAAUUAAAAUUAAAAACUGAAAAAAAAAAUUAAGCCAUUCAGUCUCUACCAGCGUGUCCUCAUAGACAAACAUUCUGAUGUAUUUAGCGUAUGCUCUCAUAUUUUUGUGUUCCUGCAAGAUGUGUAUUGUUUUAUUUUCUUAAACUAUUAGUGGACAUGUACGUUGUUUCUGUAAGAGCUUUGUUUUAAAGACUGCUUCAUUUUCACGGGCCCAUCUGAUCCAACUGGUUAUUUCUAACUGCUGCAAGUUACUUUCUGGCCCAUAUUUUAUGUGACCAACCUCUGCCUCCACCGAUCUACACUCAGAUUGCCUCCCUCCUGACGAUGGCCAAGUCCCCUCUGCGGUCCGCUGUGAAAUUCUUUGACAUACACAUCGAGGCAGACGAAUACCAGGUCACCGGGGGAGCAUGCACCGCCUGGAUUUAGUAGUCAGGUUGCUGUCCACGAGCAGCACAGCGGGAUUCCACGUUGGCCUGCCAACACUUGGCAAAAUUCAGUUGUGGCAAAAUCGAGGAAAAAUGAUAUUUCAUGGACAUCUUGAAUUGGAGCUCUCUCAUUCAUAAUGCUGGAAGUAGUUUUUAGUUCCCCAGCCCCUAAUUUUCUAAAUUAGAAAAGCACUGGCAAGACUUCGAGCGUGCCCGUCAGGAGGAUGCCCAGGAAUCUGUCUCCAUGGCCAUCUUCUCUCUCCGCUAACAUCCAGCCGCAACAAUCGCAUCACCCACACCUGCUCCUGCACCGUGUGAAGAAGUGGCCCUUCCUGCGUGUGAAUGUUCUGCUAGCCUUUCUCACGACGGGGAGACGUCCAGGCUCAUCAGCCUUGCCAACAUUUUGGGUGAUGUGAGGUCUGGAGGUGAUUUCUCGUGGAGCGGUCACCCAGGAUUUGACACAUCCCUGUGUAUGUUCUUUGCCCUCAGUGCAUCCAUAGACAGUAGCAGGGGGGAUAUUUGGAUGACGUCAGUGAGAGCUUUUGCCCCAAGAAUGGGAGACUGUGGGGCACGCAGCAUCUCCCCCACCAUGCAGACAACAAAGACUCUUUUAAAAAAAAAAAAAGGAAUAUAAAACUAUUUAUUAAAAAAAAAAACUAUUUAUUGACCACUGUUUACCAGUAUUUACAAUAAAGUAAACAAUAUACAGUUGGAUAACAUUCUAACUACAAAGUUCUUGUUUUUCCUGGUUUCUGCUGAACCAGUAGUUCAAAUACUGAGAAGAUUGAGCCUACAUGUUAGGAAUGAGUUGGGAUGAAGAAAAAAACAUGCAGGUCAAGAAUUUGGAUUAUGGAAGUCUAUCUACCCAUUUAUUCCAGCAGGUGCUCAAAGACUCUUUUUUUUAAAUUUAUUUUUUAUUUUUUAUCUGGCAUAGAAUGCAUUUCUUGUGAAGACUAUCUGGAAGCACCUGGUUCUGCUGUUGAGUAAAAACCAUCUUCCUUUUUCUUCUCUGUUCAUUGUCUGCUCAUAGUCUUGGCGCUCCUCGUCUCCCGUGGCCACAUCUGAAGGAGGUGCUGGGUGCUGCACCCUCUGUGCAGCAGCUCGGACCUCACCGCGCACAUCUUCACUCUGCAGGUUCAGAGGUGGGGGUGGCUUUGAGGGUUAAAGGCUGCGGAUGAAAAAAAAGAAAAUAAAAUAAAGGCUGCGGAUGGCCAGUCUUGCAAUGUCUUUGGCAAAAGAAUUUCACCCUCACGGCGGUCGUGCACUGUUGGUCAGUGUCACAAGUGAAUUAGGAUCAAUCAAAAUCUUGUGUCAUAAUCAUUUUUAGUCUCUUUAUUUAUUUUGAAGACUCUAUCGUGUGGCCUCUGCAAGUCCCUCAUUUCAAACAAUGUUUUAGGAGUUCGGUGCCAGCUUUGUCAGCAGGGCUGUCAUCCUUUUGUGAAAGAGUUAUGCCUUCUGCUAAAGCUGCAAUUUUGUAGUUAGAGUUUGUGGUUGCUAUUGUUUUUUUUUUUUUAUUUUUAAAAAAGAUUUUAUUUGAGAGAGAGCGAGAGAGAUUGAGCACAAGCGGUGGGAAGGAGAAGAGGCAGAGGGAGAAGCAGGGUCCCCAUGGGGCUCAAUUCUGGGACCCCGAGAUCAUGACCUGAGCCAAAGCUGCUUAGCCGAUGGAGCCCUCCUGGUGCCCCAUUGCUAUUGUUUUCUUAACAUAAAUUUUUAUACUAUGAAGAGUUUAAGCAUAAUGUAAAAAAAAGAAUUGUUAAUAAAAAUUCCCAUAUAUUUAUCUUCUAGAUUCAACAAUAAUCAAAAUACCACUUCAUCUAUCUGAUUUUGUUUUUGCUAAUGCAUUUUAAAGGAAACCCAAAACAUUGUUGUUUCAUUCCUACAUAAUUUAGUGUCUAAAACCAAAAACAAGAAUAUUUUCUCAUAUAACCACUCUUCCACUCUCAACUCCAACAAGACAUGUAGUAAUUUUUGUCAAAAUCUGAUGCAUAAUCCACAGUCAUGUGUCCAGGAUUGUCUCAAAGAUUUAUUAAUAGUUAUUUCUUUUUCUUUUUCUUUUCUUUUUUUUUCUUUUUCCUUUAAACUUGGGACUGUAUCAGUUAUUUUUAUGUGCCUGUCUCUGGGGAUCCCUGGGUGGCUCAGUGGUUGAGCGUCUCCUUUAGGCCCAGAUCCUGGAGUCCCAGGAUCGAGUCCCGCGUUGGGCUCCCUGCAUGGAGCCUGCUUCUUCCUCUGCCUGUGUCUCUGCCUCUCUCUCUCUCUGUCUCUCAUGAA